rnacentral:rRNA from 1 species
UGAGGAAUAUUGGUCAAUGGACGCAAGUCUGAACCAGCCAUGCCGCGUGCAGGAAGACGGCUCUAUGAGUUGUAAACUGCUUUUGUACGAGGGUAAACUCACCUACGUGUAGGUGACUGAAAGUAUCGUACGAAUAAGGAUCGGCUAACUCCGUGCCAGCAGCCGCGGUAAUACGGAGGAUUCAAGCGUUAUCCGGAUUUAUUGGGUUUAAAGGGUGCGUAGGCGGUUUGAUAAGUUAGAGGUGAAAUCCCGGGGCUUAACUCCGGAACUGCCUCUAAUACUGUUAGACUAGAGAGUAGUUGCGGUAGGCGGAAUGUAUGGUGUAGCGGUGAAAUGCUUAGAGAUCAUACAGAACACCGAUUGCGAAGGCAGCUUACCAAACUAUAUCUGACGUUGAGGCACGAAAGCGUGGGGAGCAAACAGGAUUAGAUACCCUGGUAGUCCACGCAGUAAACGAUGAUAACUCGUUGUCGGCGAUACACAGUCGGUGACUAAGCGAAAGCGAUAAGUUAUCCACCUGGGGAGUACGUUCGCAAGAAUGAAACUCAAAGGAAUUGACGGGGGCCGGCACAAGCGGAGGAACAUGUGGUUUAAUUCGAUGAUACGCGAGGAACCUUACCCGGGCUUGAAAGUUACUGACGAUUCUGGAAACAGGAUUUCCCUUCGGGGCAGGAAACUAGGUGCUGCAUGGUUGUCGUCAGCUCGUGCCGUGAGGUGUCGGGUUAAGUCCCAUAACGAGCGCAACCCCUACCGUUAGUUGCCAUCAGGUCAAGCUGGGCACUCUGGCGGGACUGCCGGUGUAAGCCGAGAGGAAGGUGGGGAUGACGUCAAAUCAGCACGGCCCUUACGUCCGGGGCUACACACGUGUUACAAUGGUAGGUACAGAGGGUCGCUACCCCGCGAGGGGAUGCCAAUCUCGAAAGCCUAUCUCAGUUCGGAUUGGAGGCUGAAACCCGCCUCCAUGAAGUUGGAUUCGCUAGUAAUCGCGCAUCAGCCAUGGCGCGGUGAAUACGUUCCC